GGUCAGAGGAUGAGGACCUCUCAGUGUUAGAGUCUCAGAUAGUAGAGUACUUCAUCUGUGCUGAAGAGGUAAAGUGGGACUGCUCAUCUGAUCUCACCUGGGAACUGAAGAACUCUAACACGACUCAGGACAUCAGUUUGUUUGUGUGGACGGGAAAGAACAGACUGGGCUCCAGGUAUAAGUAAGUAGUUUAUUGAGAAUACACUGAUGCCUCCUUUGGGACAAAGAAACUGAGACAGCCUCAAGAGGAACACCUGGAGAUUUUAGGGAUCAAUGGGAAGCUCUAUGCAAACCUUCAUGGUCUAGAAAUGAUGGAGGGAGAAAGGGUGGUUUGUACCUGUGUGGGAUGGGCAAUGAAGUAGACAUUCACACCAUCCAUUUUCAUGCUGAAACCUUCACCUACAAGGGGUACAAUUAUAUAGACAAUUAUUUAUUUUAAUGUGUUUUUCAAUAAAAUUACUGCAGUGUGUUCUGCAAGCAGUUUUCAAACACUAAACUCAACCAAUAUAAUAACUCACGCUGCCUUUUUUUUCAGGCAGAUGAGGCAGCUGUACUGAUGUAUAUGACCUGAUCCCAGGAUCAUUUCAGACGUUGGAGAUGGUGGCAGAGG